rnacentral:tRNA from 1 species
GCCGUCGUGGUGGAAUUGGUAGACACGCCGUCUUGAGGGGGCGGUGCCGAAAGGCGUAAGAGUUCGAGUCUCUUCGACGGCACCA